rnacentral:rRNA from 1 species
CUGGCUCAGGAUGAACGCUAGCUACAGGCUUAACACAUGCAAGUCGAGGGGCAGCAUGAUCUUAGCUUGCUAAGAUUGAUGGCGACCGGCGCACGGGUGAGUAACGCGUAUCCAACCUUCCCUGUACUAGGGGAUAGCCCGGCGAAAGUCGGAUUAAUACCCUAUGUUUUCCGAAGCGAGCAUUUAAUUUGGAACAAAGGUUUACCGGUAUAGGAUGGGGGAUGCGUCUGAUUAGAUAGUAGGCGGGGUAACGGCCCACCUAGUCGACGAUCAGUAGGGGUUCUGAGAGGAAGGUCCCCCACAUUGGAACUGAGACACGGUCCAAACUCCUACGGGAGGCAGCAGUGAGGAAUAUUGGUCAAUGGACGAGAGUCUGAACCAGCCAAGUAGCGUGCAGGAUGACGGCCCUAUGGGUUGUAAACUGCUUUUAUAUAGGGAUAAAGUGAGGGACGUGUCCCUUAUUGUAGGUACUAUAUGAAUAAGGACCGGCUAAUUCCGUGCCAGCAGCGGC